rnacentral:snRNA from 1 species
GUGCUCACAUCAGCAGCACAUAGACUAACACUGGGCUAAUACAGAGAAGAUUGGCAGGGCCCCUGUGCAAAUUUGUGAAACUUUCCAAUUUUUU